CUAAGUCUCGGCGGAAAGCUGCGAGAGUUAGAAGGGAAUUUUUAUUAAAGAAAGACUGUUUGGCCGCAAAAAUUAUAGCUCCUAGUCAGCUGAGCCCCGAGGAAUUAAGGAAUAACCGGUUAAGUUUGGAAGGAAGAGCUUAUGAGGUGGGUGGCCUUAUACGAAGAAGAAAUAGAAAGAGAAGCU